CCUACGGGAGGCAGCAGUAGGGAAUAUUGCUCAAUGGGGGAAACCCUGAAGCAGCAACGCCGCGUGGAGGAUGAAGGUUUUCGGAUUGUAAACUCCUUUUGUUAGAGAAGAUAAUGACGGUAUCUAACGAAUAAGCACCGGCUAACUCCGUGCCAGCAGCCGCGGUAAUACGGAGGGUACAAGCGUUACUCGGAAUCACUGGGCGUAAAGGGCGCGUAGGCGGGAUAGCAAGUCAGAUGUGAAAUCCUAUGGCUUAACCAUAGAACUGCAUUUGAAACUGUUAUUCUAGAGUAUGGGAGAGGUAGGUGGAAUUCUUGGUGUAGGGGUAAAAUCCGUAGAGAUCAAGAGGAAUACUCAUUGCGAAGGCGACCUGCUAGAACAUAACUGACGCUGAUGCGCGAAAGCGUGGGGAGCAAACAGGAUUAGAUACCCGGGUAGUC
rnacentral:rRNA from 1 species